GACGAACGCCGUCGGCGUGCUUAACACAUUCAAGUCGAACGGAAAGGCCCUGCUUUUGUGGGGUGCUCGAGUGGCGAACGAGUUAGUAACACGUUAGUAACCUGCCCUUGACUUUGGGAUAACUUCAGGAAACUGGGGCUAAUACCGGAUAUGAGCUCCGGCUGCAUUUUGGGGGUUGGUAAGUUUCGGCGGUUGGGGAUGGACUCGCGGCUUAUCAGCUUGUAGGUGGGGUAUUGGCUUACCAAGGCUUUGACGGGUAGCCGGCCUGAGAGGGUGACCGACAACCUUGGGACUGAGAUACGCCACAGACACUCAAGGGAGGACGCAGUGGGGAGUAUUGCACAAUGGGCGGAAGCCUGAUGCAGCAACGCAGCGUGCGGGCUGACGGCCUUAGGGUUGUAACCCGCUUUCGCCUGUGACGAAGCGUGAGUGACGGUAAUGGGUACAGGAGCACAGGCGACCUACGU
rnacentral:rRNA from 1 species